rnacentral:ncRNA from 1 species
UAAGGUCUUGGUCUUAAACCUAAUAUUACCUGUAACCCUAACCAUACAUGCAAGCCUCAACAAGACAGUGAAAACGCCCCCCUCCCCCGGUGGAGCCGGCAUCAGGCCCAAACAACCUACCUAUGACGCCCAACAAAACCACGCCCCCACGGGCCUGCAGCAGUAAAUAACAUUGGGCCAUAAGUGAAAACUUGACCCAGCAAAGGUACCCCAGAGCUGGUUAAUCUCGUGCCAGCGACCGCGGUUACACGACAAGCUCAAGAUAAUACCACCGGCGUAAAACACGACCAGGCUUAUGUACUUACCUGGGGAAGAACGCAGGCCAGGUCGUAAAAAGCCAUAAGCCAAACUAAUCACCUUACCCCAGCCCACCACCACCCCGACUCGUGAAAAUUAGGACCCAAACUAGGAUUAGAUACCCUACUAUGCCUAAUAGUAACACAGCAAUAAAAUACUAAUUGCUCGCCAAACCACUACGAGUGAAAACUUAAAACUUAAAAGACUUGACGGUACUUCAAACUCAACCUAGAGGAGCCUGUCUAAUAACCGAUAACCCACGUUUAACCCAACCCGCUUUAGCCAACCAGUCUAUAUACCGCCGUCGCCAGCCCACCUUGUGAAAGAAACAAAGUGCGCCCAAUAGUCUAACACUAACACGACAGGUCGAGGUGUAACUUAUAAGCAGGGACAGAUGGGCUACAUUUUCUCUAACAGAACAAACGAAUAAGAGUAUGAAACAGCCUUUAAAGGCGGAUUUAGCAGUAAGCCGCAGCGCACAUUACCCGACUGAAACUAAUGCAAUGAGGUGCGUACACACCGCCCGUCAUCCCUGCAAAAUUAAUUAAUUAUAAAUAAACCCACUACCACCUAAAACCAGGGCAAGUCGUAACAAGGUAAGCGUACUGGAAAAUGCGCUAGAAA